rnacentral:rRNA from 1 species
GAUCAUGGCUCAGGAUGAACGCUAGCUACAGGCUUAACACAUGCAAGUCGAGGGGCAGCAUGAACUUAGCUUGCUAAGUUUGAUGGCGACCGGCGCACGGGUGAGUAACACGUAUCCAACCUGCCGAUGACUCGGGGAUAGCCUUUCGAAAGAAAGAUUAAUACCCGAUGGCAUAAUUCUUCCGCAUGGUAGAACUAUUAAAGAAUUUCGGUCAUCGAUGGGGAUGCGUUCCACUAGGUUGUUGGCGGGGUAACGGCCCACCAAGCCUUCGAUGGAUAGGGGUUCUGAGAGGAAGGUCCCCCACAUUGGAACUGAGACACGGUCCAAACUCCUACGGGAGGCAGCAGUGAGGAAUAUUGGUCAAUGGACGAGAGUCUGAACCAGCCAAGUAGCGUGAAGGAUGACUGCCCUAUGGGUUGUAAACUUCUUUUAUACGGGAAUAAAGUGAGGCCACGUGUGCCUUUUUGUAUGUACCGUAUGAAUAAGGAUCGGCUAACUCCGUG